rnacentral:rRNA from 1 species
GUCCAGACUCCUACGGGAGGCAGCAGUGGGGAAUAUUGCACAAUGGGGGAAACCCUGAUCCAGCGACGCCGCGUGAGUGAAGAAGUAUUUCGGUAUGUAAAGCUCUGUCAGCAGGGAAGAAAGAAAUGACGGUACCUGACCAAGAAGCCCCGGCUAACUACGUGCCAGCAGCCGCGGUAAUACGUAGGGGGCAAGCGUUAUCCGGAAUUACUGGGUGUAAAGGGAGCGUAGACGGUUAAGUAAGUCUGGAGUGAAAGGCCGGGGCCCAACCCCGGGACUGCUCUGGAAACUAUUCAACUUGAGUGCAGGAGAGGUAAGCGGAAUUCCUAGUGUAGCGGUGAAAUGCGUAGAUAUUAGGAGGAACACCAGUGGCGAAGGCGGCUUACUGGACUGUAACUGACGUUGAGGCUCGAAAGCGUGGGGAGCAAACAGGAUUAGAUACCCUAGUA